rnacentral:rRNA from 1 species
GCAUGAAGUUGGAAUUGCUAGUAAUCGCGGAUCAGCACGCCGCGGUGAAUACGUUCCCGGGCCCUGUACACACCGCCCGUCACACCAUGGAAGUCUGCAAUGCCCGAAGCCGGUGGCCUAACCACUUAUGUGGAAGGAGCCGUCUAAGGCAGGGCAGAUGACUGGGGUGAAGUCGUAACAAGGUAGC